GAUCGCAUAAGGUCGUAAAAGAGCACCAGAUUCCUAAUCUGGGGGUCGCGCGUUCGAAUCGCGCCGGGAUCACCA
rnacentral:tRNA from 1 species